rnacentral:tmRNA from 1 species
GGGGAUGUUUUGGUUUUGACAGCAAUUGACUUUGAUUGGUAAGCACGUUGAGAGUCGUGGCCCCUCUCGCUAAUCUCAGACCUCACGCCAUAACUGGCAAUAACAAUUAUGCACUCGCUGCGUAGUCUAUGCUAAGCAUGACUCCUUUAUCAAUUGGCCAAGGGCCUUUUGACGAGUAUCCCGCCGAGGUUUUGGAAUGCCGCUUCGGACCAACGGGGUAUCAUCAGACAAUUCCUGCCUGCGCCUACUCCUCUUCAGCGCACUAAGAUAUAGAGGAUACGAUUUAGAUGGCCUGCUCUUCGGCAGUCUGAUUCCGACAAUUAAAGAAGAGAUAAGCGUGUAGAAAGCCUUUUGAUGCUUUGUUUGGACGGCGGUUCGAGCCCGCCCAUCUCCACAA